rnacentral:tRNA from 1 species
GCUUUGAUAGUUCAGUGGCGCACUUCUUGCCUUUCAUGUAGGCGAUCUGGGUUUGAUUCCCAGCCAAUGUA